AUGAUUUGUAAUUCUGAUUUUGAAAUGAACAAUUGCGAUUCUGACUUCGCUUUUACUUGUAAUAGCACGAUGCCUGUUUCUGAACUCGUAGCAAAUUUCCUUUUCAAACUCUAUUGUGAACCAAAGAUUGGAUUUGUGAUUUGUAAUAGAGGUCACAGGAUAAUGAUUGGACCAAAAUUUUGA